AGACGACUUUGCCCUCCUUAUGCCAACAGUCAAAUGAGGCACGGCAAUCAAAUUAAAUCAUCACUGAUGAUUCCGCCUGAGCUAGCCUUAAGAACGGACGCUCAAACAGGAACCAGUGUUCACAGGAGAGUUGGAACUCACAGAAGAAUAGAGAAGAAAGAACGUAAGCAUUGGAGAUGCUGUCCUCCUUGAAGAUGCUGUUCUCCUUGAUGAUCACUCUCCUCAUCUUUGGAAUCUUGUUUACUACCCUCAUCUCCGAUGUGAGACCUUCACCUCCACCUGUUCCUUUACCUCCCGCUCUGAAAGUCCCGAGCCCCCCUAAAGGAUGUAAAGGAUGCAGGUGAGAGCCCACAUAUCAUAACAGCCUCAUUGAGAGCUAUCAGGGCCAGAAAUUGUAAAGCUCUACUCCCUCCGUAUGUCCAAGCACCAUUUAGAGGCUGCAAUCCACAGACCUGUGAUUGAAAGGCAAGAUCAAUACCCAAACCAAGCAGGGAAGAGAUUCUCUAAUUUGUCAGUAAAUGAGCUUGCUGCAGUCUAAAAUCCAAAUACAUACAGAGGCUGGGGCAGUCAUCCCAAAACUAAUAUUCUCACAGCACAUUUACUCACAGGCUACAGCACAUUCAUGGAUGGGAAUUCAAUUUAAUGGGAACCACUGAUAGUCACAUUUGAUUUGUGGAUCAAAUGUGCCAAAUUUGGAUCAGCAUGGAAUACACUUCUUAUUUAAUGGUGUUCAUGCCUAAUUCUCCUUUAGCUGAAGUCUUUAUUCAAUGUUGUUUUUAUUAUAGUUUAUUUUGAUAUUUGCUGUGUUUUGUUAACAGGGGAUCUCUUAUCGAGAAAGUGAUGGCACGACAUUCUCAGACAUGGAAAAAGCAGCAAGAAAACUCUUCAAAUUUCAGGUACUAAAAACUAUUGUGUUUACGUUUGUGUAAUGAAAGAAACAUUGUAAAACAGCCAUAAAUGUGUCCUUUAUGUUUGCGUAAAACACAUGCAAAAUACAUUCACCGCAAACUUUUUCAGGUAGUGUUCUAGUAGUAUUAAAAGGUACAACCUUCUUGGCAUUAUGUAACU
rnacentral:lncRNA from 1 species